ACUUUUUGUUUUCUUUUUACCAGAAGUGUUUGGUCCUAUAUUAGGUCUCUUGGCUACCCAGACUCUGAUUCCUGGACAUACAGACAGUGUCAUGUAUGGGAUAUCUAUCUCCAGUAGCACGGGCCUCAAGUUGGACCAGUCAUUGGUUGGUUACUCAAGCAAGUUCUGAGCAACUGUUAGCCCAGAACAUUUUGCAGACAGUGAAAAUUGCAGCUCCAUGCAUUUCCCCUUGAGCCAUCAUUGUUACUUAGCCUCUCUGGGUUUGUGGAUUUUAGCAGGAUUAUCCUUCACUCACCAGCUAAUGUCCACUUAAAAUUCUUCAGUUGAUGGCCAUCUAGGUUGUUUGCAAUUUCUCUGUGUUAUGAAAUGAAGACAGGAAUAACUCUAUCAACAUUCCAGCAUUCUCAGCUUUCCUGUUCAUUUCAGCUUGUGAAUAAAUUAGUGAAGACAUCUCAACUUUAGACUCAAUUUCCUAUACUAUAUGUUUAAUAGAGGUUUACAAAGGCAGAAGUCAUUUACUGACCUCAACUGACCCAGAGUAACCCUCAAAACUUCAAAGACAUGUUAUCAACAUAUAUCAACAUUUCGCUUCAAACAUUUAUGGAAUCUUUUCUUUGUUUAUGUUUGCUUUCAACCUGCUUGUGGCUUUCAGUAAAUGAUUACCAAAAAAUAUACAAAUACAUAUGCAUUAUUUUAGGUCAGGAGCAUUGAAGAGCACAAGGUUAUGUUUAAAACUAUGCAUUUAGCUUAGGGGGUAAAUUCUGAUUACAUAGGAAAUCUAAGGCAUAGUAAAGGUUGAUUAUAUUGCUUUCUUAAAGGCAGGUUAAACUUAAACACACUGAGUACACAGUAGGACAGUGGGUUAAAUACAUUGUCUUUCAUAAUCUGAAGACAUAUAAUUAAAUUGGCUCCAAGGUCUAGGGAUGUUAAUUCUCUUUGAAAUAAAGAUAUAUUUUCAGAAGAAAAAAAAAAGGUUUCACGAGAGCAUUUAAGUUAUUGAAAUAAUGUUCAAAAGUGUUGAAAUCAAAUGUCAAAAGGGUUAAUUCCAACCCUUGCAUUCAUGGUUCUCAGACAUUAAUUUGUAUUUUAUUAUGCUUGAUGUGUUUUUAUUUGUUUAUUUCAUUUUCAUUUGAGAGCAGGAUGUAUUUGCUACUGCACAAUAUCAAGUCCAUGGUACCAUUACAGUUUUUGAUUUCCUCUCCAAGUGAGGCUUACAGAGAUUUUCUAUAGGUAAUUUUCUAAAUUCAGAUCAUUAUUUUGCUUUUAUGUGUGUGGUGUUCAUGAGCAUGUGUGUCUUUGAAAGUGUGUGGGUGCAGGUGUUGACUAGGUGAUCAUGCCUAUUGGAACCCAUUGUUGACAUUGUCUUUGUCUACCAUUUUUUUGUUUUAUAUGUUAAGGCAGAAUCUCCUGCUGAACUGAAGACUAGUCAUUUCAGCUUGUCUGACUAACUGGCUGGCUAUGGGAUUCCUGGUUUAUGCCUCAUGUGUUCUGUAAUCACAGAACAUUCCUAUAACCACAGGAAUCCCACUAACCUUAUGUGGUGUUUACCUGGGCUCUGAAAUUUUAAUUCUGGUCUUAUGCUUGCAGAUCAAGUGUUUUAUU